rnacentral:rRNA from 1 species
UACAGAGGGUGCGAGCGUUAAUCGGAAUUACUGGGCGUAAAGUGUGCGUAGACGGUUGCGUAAGUCAGAUGUGAAAGCCCCGGGCUCAACCUGGGAAUUGCAUUUGAGACUGCGUAGCUAGGGUGCGGAAGAGGGAAGCGGAAUUUCCGGUGUAGCGGUGAAAUGCGUAGAUAUCGGAAGGAACACCAGUGGCGAAAGCGGCUUCCUGGUCCAGCACCGACGUUCAGGCACGAAAGCGUGGGGAGCAAACAGG